UACGUAGGGGGCAAGCGUUGUCCGGAUUUAUUGGGCGUAAAGAGCGUGUAGGCGGCCAUACAGGUCCGUUGUGAAAACUGGAGGCUUAACCUCCAGACGUCGAUGGAAACCGUAUGGCUAGAGUCCGGAAGAGGAGAGUGGAAUUCCUGGUGUAGCGGUGAAAUGCGCAGAUAUCGGGAAGAACACCCGUGGCGAAGGCGGCUCUCUGGAACGCAACUGACGCUGAGACGCGAAGCGUGGGGAGCAACAGG
rnacentral:rRNA from 1 species